rnacentral:rRNA from 1 species
CGGAAUUACUGGGCGUAAAGGGCUCGUAGGCGGCCAACUAAGUCAGACGUGAAAUCCCUCGGCUUAACCGGGGAACUGCGUCUGAUACUGGAUGGCUUGAGUUUGGGAGAGGGAUGCGGAAUUCCAGGUGUAGCGGUGAAAUGCGUAGAUAUCUGGAGGAACACCGGUGGCGAAGGCGGCAUCCUGGGCCAACACUGACGCUGAGUGAGCGAAAGCCAGGGGAGCAAACGGG